rnacentral:lncRNA from 1 species
UGCAAAUUUGUUGUAAGAGCAGUAAUCGGAUCCGAGUUGCAAAGAAAGAUUAGGGCUUGUCUUGAUACUAGUGUGUUUUAACUUUAAUCCACAUGUGCUGAGCUCGAGGUGGAUUAAAGUAUAAGUUUCAGUUUACUCUAAUUCAUUCUAACACAUAUGCAUUGAGACGGAUAUGAAUGUAUCUAAAUAAGGUCUUAGUUUUUUUAGCAAAAAUAAGGCCCUAGUGGCAACCAGUGGCGGAGCCACGUGUAGACCAUAGUGGGCCGUGCCUCCCGUUGGAAAUUAAAUUUUCUUAUAGAUGGCAAAAGCUUAUACUUAGCAAGUAAUAGAGAUUUUCACAUUAGAUUAGAGAAAAGCUUCACAGUGUUUGCCCUUGAAUUCCCUUCACGCUCGCGCACUAGUGUCAACUACCGUACCAAGUCUCACAUCCCAUGUGACACAUGAUCAACAAUCUAAACCCUACAUUCAACUCAGUGACUCGACCCGGUUAAAUUUUGAAUCGACACAUUUCUAGCUAACCCUGUGACUCAAUAAUAUACGAGUUUUAUUAUGAGUUGUAUAUAUAUGAUCCUAACAAUUCGCGUAGACAAGGAUUAAGGAAUCAUUUUGAGGCUUUGACAUGUAUACCAUU